rnacentral:rRNA from 1 species
AAGUCGAGCGGAUGAGAAGAGCUUGCUCUUCGAUUCAGCGGCGGACGGGUGAGUAAUGCCUAGGAAUCUGCCUGGUAGUGGGGGACAACGUUUCGAAAGGAACGCUAAUACCGCAUACGUCCUACGGGAGAAAGCAGGGGACCUUCGGGCCUUGCGCUAUCAGAUGAGCCUAGGUCGGAUUAGCUAGUUGGUGGGGUAAUGGCUCACCAAGGCGACGAUCCGUAACUGGUCUGAGAGGAUGAUCANUCACACUGGAACUGANACACGGUCCAGACUCCUACGGGAGGCAGCAGUGGGGAAUAUUGGACAAUGGGCGAAAGCCUGAUCCAGCCAUGCCGCGUGUGUGAAGAAGGUCUUCGGAUUGUAAAGCACUUUAAGUUGGGAGGAAGGGCAGUAAGCGAAUACCUUGCUGUUUUGACGUUACCGACAGAAUAAGCACCGGCUAACUCUGUGCCAGCAGCCGCGGUAAUACANAGGGUGCAAGCGUUAAUCGGAAUUACUGGGCGUAAAGC